rnacentral:rRNA from 1 species
GAUGAACGCUAGCUACAGGCUUAACACAUGCAAGUCGAGGGGCAGCAUGAACUUAGCUUGCUAAGUUUGAUGGCGACCGGCGCACGGGUGAGUAACACGUAUCCAACCUGCCGAUGACUCGGGGAUAGCCUUUCGAAAGAAAGAUUAAUACCCGAUGGCAUAGUUCUUCCGCAUGGUAGAACUAUUAAAGAAUUUCGGUCAUCGAUGGGGAUGCGUUCCAUUAGGUUGUUGGCGGGGUAACGGCCCACCAAGCCUUCGAUGGAUAGGGGUUCUGAGAGGAAGGCCCCCCAAAUUGGAACGGGGACACGGCCCAAACUCCUACGGGGGGCAGAAGUGGGGAAUAUGGGUAAAGGGACGGGAGUUUGAACCAGCCAAGUGGCGUGAAGGAUGACUGCCCUUUGGUUUGUAAACUUCUUUUAUACGGGAAUAAAGGGGGGCACGUGUGCCUUUUUGUAUGUACCGAUUGAAUAAGGAUCGGCUAACUCCGU